GAUCAAGUUACUAAGGGUGUACGGUGGAUGCCUUGGCGCAAGAGAGCCGAUGAAGGACGUGGGUUAGCUGCGAUAAGCCUCGGGGAGUCGUUGCCAGACUGAGAUCCGGGGAUCUCCGAAUUGUCCUACGCUGAACACAUAGGCGUACGACGGGAACGUGGGGAACUGAUACAUCUAAGUACUCACAGGAAAAGAACGCGAAUGCGAUUGCCUUAGUAGCGGCGAGCGAAACGGCAACAGUCCAAACCUUGUCUGUGUAAGGGCAGGCCGUUGCAGACGGGGGGUCGUGGGAACGUCAUGCUGAACCUGAAUAGGCAUACGUAGGAUACUCGUUAACCGAAGGGGCUGGAACGCCCCGCCAUAGAAGGUGAUAGCCCUGUACGUAAAAAUGACCUAUCCGCGUAGACGUCUCCCAAGUACUGCCGGGCACGAGAAACCUGGUGGGAAUUCAUGGGGACCACCCCAUAAGACUAAAUACUCCUUGCGACCGAUAGUGAACCAGUAAGGUGACUGAAAGGUGAAAAGCACCCCGAAAGGGGAAUGAAAUAGUACCUGAAACCGUAUACCUACAAGCUGUGGAAGGCCUAUGCCACCCUUAGGUGGAAUGGCUGACCGCGUGCCUCUUGAAUGAUGAUCCGGCGAGUUAUCGUCCGUGGCGAGCCUAAGCGCUUAAGGCGUGGAGGCGUAGGGAAACCGAGUAUGAAUAAUGCGCUAGUCACGGGGGAUAGACACGAAACCGUAGUGAUCUAUCCGAGGCCAGGAUGAAGUGGGAGUAAAAUCCCAUGGAGGUCCGAACCCACUAUAGUUGAAAAUAUAGGGGAUGAGCUUCGGAUAGGAGUGAAAGUCUAAUCAAACUCGGAGAUAUCUUGUUCUCCCCGAAAUAUAUUGAGGUAUAGCCUUGAGUUAACUACGUCAUGGAGGUAGAGGACAGAAUCGAUGCGGGGGACUACCAUCCUACCAAUUCGAAACAAACUCCGAAUGCCAUGGCGACUAUCUCAGGAGUCAGGCUGCGGGAGAGAAGUUCCGUAGCCGAGAGGGAAAAAGCCCAGACCGCCGGCUAAGGUCCCUAAACUAUGCUAAGUGGAAAAAGGAAGUGGAAUUGCUAAGACAGCUGGGAUGUUGGCUUAGAAGCAGCCACCAUUUAAAAAGUGCGUAAUAGCUUACCAGUCGAGCAAUUCUGCGCCGAAAAUUAACGGGACUUAAGCAUAGUACCGAAGCCGCGGAUUUACGCUUCACCUUCGGGUGGGCGUAAGUGGUAGGGGAGCGUUCCAUACGGGUUGAAGGCCGAGCGUGAGCACGGAGGGAGUACCCUAUCUGGACCGUAUGGAAGUGAUUAUGCCGGAAUGAGUAGCGAGAAAAGGGGUGAGAAUCCCCUUCGCCGUAAGCCUAAGGUUUCCUGGGCAAGGUCAUUCCUCCCAGGGUUAGUCGGGACCUAAGUCAAGGCCGAAAGGCGUAGACGACUGGACAACAGGUUAAUAUUCCUGUACUACUUUAAAGCUUAAGCUCAAGGAAGGACGGAGAAAGCUAAUUGCGGGUGGAAAGUUGGUAGUUCCACAAAGGCGUGUAGGCUGUCCCCGAUGAUUAAAAGUUUGGGACAUCAGGCCGAGGCGCUAUUUCAAGGCGCAAGCCGAAGCCGCUGAUGCUAUGCUUCCAAGAAAAGUUCCGUGAGUGCGAUAAAGUACCCGUACCAAUAACCGACACAGGUGGGCGAGGAGAGUAUCCUCAGGCGCGCGAGAGAACUGUAGUUAAGGAACUCGGCAAAUUUGAUCCGUAACUUAGGGAAAAGGAUCGCCCCUGGAGGUCAAGGACUUGCUCCGGUAGCUUUUGGGGGUCACAGCAAAGAAGCCCGAGCGACUGUUUACCAAAAACACAGGUCUGUGCUAACACGCAAGUGGAUGUAUACAGACUGACGCCUGGCCAAUGCUGGAAGGUUAAGGUAAGGGGUCAUCCCGCAAGGGUGCAGCUCCGAACCGAAGCCCCAGUGAAUGCCGGCCGUAACUAUGACGGUCCUAAGGUAGCGAAGUUCCUUGUCGGGUAAGUUCCGACGUGCAUGAAUGGCGUAACGACUUGGGCACUGUCUCGACUACAGACUCGGCGAAAUUGGAGCAGUGGUGAAGAUACCAUUUUACCCGUGGCUAGACGGAAAGACCCCGUGAACCUUUACUAUAAGCUAUUAUUGGUUUUUUUCAUGGAUUGUGUAGGAUAGGCGGGAGACUGUGAAGGGGAGGCGCCAGCUUCUCCAGAGUCAACGGUGAAAUACCGCUCUUUUUAUGAAGGAAAUCUAACCUGGUCCCGUGAAUCCGGGCUGGGGACAGUUGUAGCCGGGUAGUUUGACUGGGGUGGUCUCCUCCUAAAGAGUAACGGAGGAGUUCAAAGGUACCCUCAAUACGGUUGGCAACCGUAUGCAGAGCGCAAUAGUAGAAGGGUGCUUGACAGCGAGAGAGAUAUUUCGAGCUGGGACGAAAGUCGGAUAUAGUGACCCCGCGAUUCUGAGUGGAAGGGUCGUGGCUCAUCAGACAAAAGGUACUCCGGGGAUAACAGGCUGAUCUCCUCCAAGCGUUCACAGCGACGAGGAGGUUUGGCACCUCGAUGUCGGCUCAUCGCAUCCUGGGGCUGCAGUCGGUCCCAAGGGUUUGGCUGUCCGCCAAUUAAAGCGGUACGCGAGCUGGGUUCAGACCGUCGUGAGACAGGUCGGUCCCUAUCUGCCAUGGGCGCAGGAAGAUUGAGAAGAACUGACUUUAGUACGAGAGGACUUUGUCGGACAGACCUCUGGUGUGCGAGUUGUCCUGCCAAGGGCAAUGCUCGGUAGCUAUGUCUGGAACGGAUAAACGCUGAAAGCAUCUAAGCGUGAAGCCAGCUUCAAGAUGAAUCUUCCCUGAAGGUCCCCGGUAGACCACCGGGUUGAUAGGCUGGAUGUGUAAGACCCGUGAGGGUUUCAGCUAACCAGUACUAAUUGACCGUCAGACUUGAUCAC
rnacentral:rRNA from 1 species